UCAGGCGACUCGGAGCUCUGGAGAGAUUGCUCUUGGUUCAAAGUUGCCUUUAAUUUCACUUUUGGGAUCGAAAUAGGUUUUUGAAUCGAAUUUACAUUUUGUUUUGAAAUGCCUCUGCAUUUCCUCUCCCUAUAGUAAUUUUCCAUGUCGACAUGCUGACCUAGCCCACUCCUGACGAUACCGAGCCGUUCUUGGACGACGAUGUCCAAGAUGUGAAUUCAUCGUCACAUCUUGGGCUUGAAUGAUUCCUGCCUACAAUCAUUUGUUUUUGAAAAUACAAACGACUCGCUCAUUUCAUAGAGGCAUGCGAUUUGAAGGUCUACAUAAUCAUCAUUCACGCCUGACCUCUGUGCAGCGGCUCCCUCUGGUGGCAGAGUGAAUCAGUACUAGUUGAAAGUGUUUCAUAAAAAUGUGUCGUCAGCAGGGUGUAAAAAUAAACAACUAAUUUCUGUUCGAUUGAGAAAAAUACUUUAUUGUGUAUCAAAAUACUGUCUUACAAUCACUUUAAAAGCCUUUUUUUUUUAAAUUUUGGACAAAAUUCCGUUAUUUAGCUUCAAAAUACAGAUAAAGGCACAAAGCAGAGUUAAGCUCAAAUGGGAA